UACGGAGGGGGCUAGCGUUGUUCGGAAUUACUGGGCGUAAAGCGUGCGCAGGCGGUUUUGUAAGCCAGAUGUGAAAUCCCCGGGCUUAACCUGGGAAUGGCAUUUGGGACUGCAAGGCUGGAGUGUGGCAGAGGAGACUGGAAUUCCCGGUGUAGCAGUGAAAUGCGUAGAUAUCGGGAGGAAUACCGAUGGCGAAGGCAGGUCUCUGGGCUGACACUGACGCUCAUGCACGAAAGCGUGGGGAGCAAACAGG
rnacentral:rRNA from 1 species